UGGCUCAGUGGUUAAGAGCACUGGACUGAUCUUCCAGAGGUCCUGAGUUCAAUUCCCAG
rnacentral:tRNA from 1 species